UCAGGCCUAACACAUGCAAGUCGUACGGGAAUUUUUAAUUCAAGUGGCGGACGGGUGAGUAACACGUAAGAAUUUGCCUUUAGGAGGGGGACAACAACUGGAAACGGUUGCUAAUACCCCAUAUGCUUUCGAGUGAAAUGGAUUUUUCCGCCUAAAGAGAAGCUUGCGGCUGAUUAGCUUGUUGGUGAGGUAAUGGCUCACCAGGGCGACGAUCAGUAUCUGGUUUGAGAGGAUGAUCAGACACACUGGAACUGAGACACGGUCCAGACUCCUACGGGAGGCAGCAGUGGGGAAUUUUCUUCAAAGGGCGAAAGCCCGACGGAGCAAUCUCGCGUGAGGCAUUAAGAGCUAUGGGUUGUAAGCCUCUUUUUUCAGGGAGGAACAAAA
rnacentral:rRNA from 1 species